CACGUAGGGCGCGAGCGUUGUCCGGAAUUAUUGGGCGUAAAGAGCUCGUAGGCGGCCUGUUGCGUCCGCUGUGAAAGCCCGGGGCUUAACCCCGGGUCGGCAGUGGAUACGGGCAGGCUAGAGGUAGGUAGGGGAGAAUGGAAUUCCCGGUGUAGCGGUGAAAUGCGCAGAUAUCGGGAGGAACACCGGUGGCGAAGGCGGUUCUCUGG
rnacentral:rRNA from 1 species